rnacentral:rRNA from 1 species
CCUACGGGACGCAGCAGUGGGGAAUAUUGCACAAUGGGGGAAACCCUGAUGCAGCGACGCCGCGUGAGUGAAGAAGUAUUUCGGUACGUAAAGCUCUAUCAGCAGGGAAGAAAAUGACGGUACCUGACUAAGAAGCCCCGGCUAACUACGUGCCAGCAGCCGCGGUAAUACGUAGGGGGCAAGCGUUAUCCGGAUUUACUGGGUGUAAAGGGAGCGUAGACGGCAGCGCAAGUCUGGAGUGAAAUCCCAUGGCUUAACCAUGGAACUGCUUUGGAAACUGUGCAGCUGGAGUGCAGGAGAGGUAA